AAAGGAGUAAGGAGGAUUCUUUUUCUCUCAAACUCUUUCUUCCUCAAGUAAGUUCUUCAAGUAAUUUCUUCAAAGAUUCAACUUCUAAUCUAGUUUUUAUUUUUGAAAAUUGUAGGGAGAUCUUGCAAGUACCAAAGGAAAGUAGAAAGGUUUCAAGAAUAAUUAAAGCCAGUCAAACUUUUGACUGUUGAUUUUUGUGUAAUCAAGAGUUUAGAGAAGAAGUUGUAGGUACAAGUUCUUGAUGUGCAUGGAAAUCAUAAGCAUCCGG